rnacentral:rRNA from 1 species
UACGUAGGCAGCAAGCGUUGUUCGGAAUUACUGGGCGUAAAGAGUGUGUAGGCGGUGCUCUAAGUUCGGUGUGAAAUCUCCCGGCUUAACUGGGAGGGUGCGCCGGAAACUGGAGUGCUCGAGCGUGGGAGAGAAAAGCGGAAUUCCUGGUGUAGCGGUGAAAUGCGUAGAUAUCAGGAGGAACACCUGCGGUGUAGACGGCUUUCUGGACCAUUGCUGACGCUGAGACACGAAAGCGUGGGUAGCAAACAGG